GUUGCAUUGUAUUAUUUACAAAUUAUGCUGUAGUUAAUAUUAGAAUUCUUAAAAAAAAAAAUCACAAGGUACGACUUAAAUAAACCUUCUGUAAAACCGGCAUUUCUGUUUGGUCUAACAAUUUUAUCCACAGAGUACCUAUACUGAACAAAAAUUACGCACCCCUCCCCCUCUCUGUAAAAUUAAAAGGUUUAUAAUAGUUAAAAAAAAAAGCUAUUAUUACAUUUCAAUAAAUGCAUUUCAUACAUUUUUCCGUUUUCCCAUUUAUUAGGAAAACUACUGAAAAAUCAAAAACAACCUGUCUAAAGUACCACAUAAGUCAGAUUUCC